UAAAAAGCAGGAUCAAGAGAUGGAAGUAGGUACCAGUCCACUCACCAUCCAGAACCUUGAUGUGCCAGAUGUUUUUGGUUGGAAGUAGUCUCUCUCAAGGCCAUGGAAUGAUGGAAAUGCUAAUGGUGGAAGACGAAUCCAGUAACUGUGGUUAAAGUCAUGAUGAAUAGACAGCAUACAUUCUAACUACAUGCAGAGUUGUCAAAUACUG
rnacentral:lncRNA from 1 species